UAUCCUCGUAGUCUUAUCCAUUUCGAUGGCGAUGGCGAUGGUGAUGGCGACGGCGACGGCGACGGGUUUCUCUGGCGACGGCGGCGGCGACGGGUUGAGGGCUGCGGGGAUGCCGCGGCGAGGAGGGGCAGAUGCUGCGGAGGCGACACAGUGAGGUGGGGCAGUGGCGGUUGUGCGGCAAGGCAGGGCAGGUCCGGCCGAGACGGCGCGCGGCAAGGCGGGGGAGUGGCGUCGCGGGGGAGGAUGGAGGACGCCAGAGUAGAGGACGACAGCUCCCGCCGUCGCUGCUGUCCGCGCACACCCGCGUGCUCGCCUCCGUCCGCGCCCACGCCAGAGCGCUGCUUUCUGUGCACGCCCGCGUGCUCGCCCUUCAGCUUGCCUCUGCCCGCACCCCACCACACGCGCGCCGACCAGCCCAGCCACCGGGAACGCCCCCUUCCUCCUACCCCCGAUCUAGAUUUCCCAAAACGCCUCCCCAGACACCCGUAGGGCGCCCCGUCGAUCCAGCUUCGGCUCCACAGCUGGCCAGCGCCGCACUACUGCCAAGGACGGUGCGGACACGCCGGCGGCGAGCACUUACCAGGUGACCAACACCUCCUUCUCUCUUCCUCUCAGCCUGCUGCUCACUCUGUACAUACGCACUCGAUGUGUCUGUGUUCAGAAUUUCGGAUUGGGCUGUGUACUUGCUCUUGCAACUUUUACUUGGGGAAUUCUGAAAUUCCACUCGCACGUGUGCUGGAAUCGAGUCACUAAAUGUCGUGACUUUGUACAGGCGCCAAGGGGAGUUCUGGUACCUUAGGAUUUGUGGCAAUUUCUUUGCGAGUUGCUAACCAGACUUGGCGAAUUGGGGGCUUUAUUCAUGUGUUUGUUCGAGCUGGCCUGGUUGUGCCGGUUCUGCCUGAACAAUUAAAUAUUUGAAUGAACCAUGCAUAUCUGUUCGUAAUCGUUUUGCUCAUGUCGGUAUUUCUUGAAUCAAUUUCGUCCGCGCAAGUUCAUGUGUUUGGGUGUUUUGAUGCUAAUCAUGUGUACAAUUGUUUGAAAAUUCCUGUGACUGAUCGUUGUGGAUUGGUAUUGGUUUAAGCCUACAGCUAUUACUGGUAUUUCUCAAUGUGCAAGCUGAAAUCACAUUGUGAAGUGGUCAAGCGCCCUCUUGCCGGUGGACUGCUGGUCAUCAAUGCAGCACGUCGGGCUCCCGCAGCCACAACAGAGGAGCGGGAACUUGCAGCAGCAUCUACGACACCCUCUCCACGAGCUGAAGGUAGGCCAGGUCAUAGAUGAGGACCCGGCGACGACCACCGAGGUUUUGACAACAGGCUCAUCUGCCUCGGAUCCGUCUCCCUGUUGUUCCUGUGCUUCUCCCUCUAUAGACACACAUUGUCGAGCCGGUGAUUGGAGAAGGAUGGGGAGGCGAUGGAUAUGGAUACGGAGUCAGUGGAUGAAGAUGAUGUCAUGGCUGGGCUGAUUUCUAUUCAUCGUGUACCGCCACCUGCUCGCGUUUCUGUCUCUCGCCUAGAACCAUCAGCUAGAGGACAUGUAUUGUGCUGCUACCGGGGCCUUGACCUCAUAUUUAUCGGGCAUCUAAUUUGUUGCAAUUUGUCUCAACUAAACCCCACAUCUCACAUCUGUCUUUAGGUUUGCCCCCGUACUCCAACUGCAAGUGAGCAGCUUACUUGUGCAGAAGAAAAAGAAAGAGAAACCAUCUCCCAAGGGACACUCCCAGUUCAAGAUGAGCAUGAAGCUGAUAUACUAAACUACCAUCUCAAGAUACUCCCUCUGUUAACAUACUGAAUGUUGUUAAUGAUAAGGCAGUAAUUGAAGUUCCUCCUUGACGAACUAGCAAGAUAGUAGCACAGUUUCUCCAGUGUAAUCAAGCCCAACAACGGCUGAUGCACAAAAGGAUGAGUUUGUCUUGAACUUGUUAUAUACCACUGAUUUAUCAUCAUGUUUUUCAUGUUGAUUUUUUUAUCAAAGUACUUCUAUUUUUUCAUUCCAAAUUAUCACUGGACAGAUUCUGUAGGCUUAACAAGGAUUAUUAUGAUAAGCUUUUAUGGAUUAUAUACACUGUAGAGGUUAUUCCAAAUGAUUUACACGGAAGAAAUUCAUAGAACAACAGUCCAAUUUAAAGGCAAUGUGUAGUGCAAAGGAAACUUAAAAUGCAUCAUUGCCCUGUUCUUUUAUAUAUGUGUCUGGACUCUACUCAAGCAGCCAAUCCUGACGAGUUAUCGACACGGCAAUAGAUGUACUCAUGUACGCGGCCCCAGGGAUGGUAUUGCUCUCUCCAAUGCCCAGACAGGCAAAGGGCAUUUUAAGGUCAAGUACCUUUAUUUAGGUCGUGGUCUGAGCAUACACUGGAUGAUGCACCCUUACAAAAAUCUGGUUACUCUUCCACUUUCAGAUUCAUUAGCAAACUGUUCAUGAAAAUAUGGAUAUUAUAUAUGUAAAGAUACACUUUUUACUUGACAAACGAAAUCAUAUAGGUUCAGACUAAAUUUCUGAUGACCUUUUUCCAUGAUGCCCUGAAUUUUGGUGAUGAGAAUGUCUGGUCAUACUAAUGUGUCGAGCAAAGAAAGUUACCUUUUAAUGUUUAAGUGUAUUUCCCCAUAAUAAAAACAUGUUCAUUCAUGAGUUAUUUCUUGAUUUAGUGUUUCAAAAUCUAAGUUCGCUGAGUAGCCAGAAAUGAUUGAAGCACUAGCUAGCUUCCAUACUCACUACUCCAGUGGUAUGUUUUUAUGAUGUUCGAUUCAUAUUUAUAUUGAUAUGCUGAAUUCAUCCACCAGAACCUAAAUAUGACAUGUCCCUAGAUCUUUAUUUGAACUGAUUUCUUAUAUGAGUACAUGUUACAAUUACUUAAUUAUCUAGCUUCUAGCUACACUUCCAUUACUAUCUUUUGUAGGCAGCUAGAAAAUGAACAUCCACGAUGAUGAGAUCAUAGAAGAAAUGAACCUGCUCAUCUUGACGAGUAAUCGGCACGGCAAUAGCUAUAACCGUGGCAGCGUCCCCCAGGUAGGAUAUUGCUCUCUCCAACGCCCAUAGUGAUGAAGGUGCAUUUUAACACCAAGUAGUUUUAUUCACAUCCUGGUUAAUCAAUACAGUAACAUUCAAUCAUGUAAAGUUCUAGGAAAUUGGGUUGACAGCUUUGUUUAACACUUAAAUUGUUUAGUCUGAUAAAAUCACGCCUCACGCACAAGUUAACUCUUUUGCCUCUUGAAUUUAUAAUCCUGUCAGUCUGUUUCAGGUGAAGUGGUGCUUGCUUUAUUGCUGGGAAUAAUUAAGCUUAUUGCAUCUACAAGUGGGACAACAUACAAGUUUAUGCUUAAACUUGACCAUUUUGUUUGUAUUUUUCCUUCCGUUGCAAUGCACGGGCAUUUUUGCUAUAAUAAUAGAGAGCUAUUGCUUCUUACCACCAUAAUUUCGUCCGUUUUCGGUCCAUCCGUCGUCCGUCCACUUAUUAUUUUCUAUAUCCGAGAUGGUACUAAUCUAUCUGAGCCACUUUCGUCCGUACGUAAACAAAAGCUUCAUUUGUUUGUUCCCUGCCGUGCAGGAUGUGUAUUAGGCCUGCCCUACACUCUUUUGGGCCUCAGCCACGGCCAAUCUAGCACUCUUCCAAUCUCAAAAAUACUAACACGUCAAGCUUCACCAAGGCCCAAGUGGGCUCCUAAUCAGCCUUUUCAUGUUAAUUUAUUCAUUAAAAAGAUAGUCCCACAUCGCUUUGUAACAAUAAAUCCCACCAGUUUAAAUAUGUGAGCAAGUUGCCUAAGAACAAGCCUUCUUGGGAGUUAAAUAAUUGGAGGAUGAGGCAUGGAUCUGUUGGAAAAACAAGAGAGGGACGAGCUUUGGCAGUGAGCAACAUAACAUUCAGGAACAGGAUUUCUUGGGAAAUUAAUAAGUGUGAAGGGGAAGAGGCGCAUGCAUCUGACAGAGAAAAGAAAGAGCAAGCUUUCUUGCAAUGGAAGGAGUAAGGAAGGACAUGCAAGAUUAUACAUGAAGUUAAAGGACAGUGCCACUGAUCGUGCCACCUCACCUAUAUACCAAGAGGUUUGGGUAAUUCAUUCAUCUUUAAUCUAAUUGGUACUUCAAUAAAGUACAAAAUAGUCCAAUACUCUCUCCAUGAACCAACACCCCAGUUCCUACAUUUUUUUAACGGCUUACGGAUUGACACUAAUCAUGUGCCCGUUUUCCAUGCCGAAGUCACAUGUAAGAAGGCCUCAAGUCCCUCUACUGAAAUCUAAGCUCAAUCACAGGUUUUCCCUUUCCUUCAAGUUGUCAUCUUAUUUCAGGAUUGGCAUCACUAAUAAUGAGGAGGGUUUUUUCCAUUCAAUCAAAUUAUAAUGCCGGCCGGGGAGGUCCUCCAUGAGCGCUACUGAGCCGACAUCGACUACUGCGACAAGAACGGGGUGAGAUGAUACAACCACCUUGUAAAAAGUGCAGUUACUAAAUUAUUUAUGCCAACAAAAACACUGCAGCUGUUAAGCAAGACAGGAAAAGGUUAUCUGCAUCCUUCAGCGCAAUUGGUUACUGCAAGAAGUGCAGUGUUUGUUUGAUGAGAUAGAAAUCUGAAAUUACAUAUGGUUCUGCAGAUGCAGUAGCAACUUAUAUUUCAGUUGUGCAUAUGAUAGCAUGAUCAACUCCCCCACCCCCAAGCUGAUUUGAUUCUAUUUGGAUCAAUGGACUCACAAAAAGGGCAUCUUCUAAAAUUGUUACGAUGCAACCAUUUUUUCAGCUGGGCUUUGCAGUUAUCUCAUUUUCUAUCUUUUCUUGGUUAGUUCUGGUACCCUCCUUCAAAGACACCGGCUGAGAAGGCAGCAUGGAAGUUUGCAGAGGAAAAUGGAUUGGAUGUGGUUGUGGUCAAUCCAGGGACUGUUUUGGCCCCGAUGAUUCCGCCAAGGAUCAAUGCUAGCAUGGCCAUGUUUCUUCGCUUAAUCUUGACAAUGCUCUGGUCAUAGUUUAAGAUAUUUUUCAUAAUUUUCCAGAUAAAGAAAUUUCUAUAGUACUACUCUUUAAUCAUUAUUAGUCCCUCUAGAAUGUUUGCUGAUAGGAUAGCAAUAAUAUCAUGAGUAGCAGACUGAAGCAGGGGAAAUUCAUGAACUUGUGCAAACUGAACACAUUCUUUUCCCGAUGAAACCUUCAUAUAACAUCAAAAUUCAUAAGCUUAAGAAUCAGAAAACGAAUGAGCCAUUGGGUUAAGGAUUUGUUGUUUUUCCCGUUGCAACGCACGGGCAUUUGUGCUAGUAUAUAAUAAUAAAGCACGGAUUGAGUCUCUGGGUUCACCGUUGCGGCAUUUUUACAAAUAGGCCUUCCUAUUUUAUAGAAAUUGCACCCGCAGUCCCCUCAUAUGUCAGACCCAAACCGGUACCGAAGAGAGAAAAGAAAAAACAUGACCGCCCUGCACGACCCUGCCUCGUCGAUCUCAUCUCCACCUCCAUCCCCAAACGACGGCGAUGAUCGAGGGCGCCGCCCCAGCUCCUGGCUGACGGAUUCGCCGGCUCCCCGCUCCUUGGGGCUAGCCCCUCCCACGGCGACGAUGGAGGGCGCUGCCCAGUUCCCGGCCGAUGGAUAUGCCGGCUCCCCUCUUCUCGGGGCCAGCCCCUCCCCCGUGCCGGGUCGAGCCUCGGCUUGGAGGCCCUUGGGGCUGCCGUCGGUGCGGGAGUCCCGCGCGGCCAUGCGGGCUGGGGACCGAGCGGCGGGCUGGCCACCUGUGCCCUGUCUACCCUGCUGCUGAGCCAUCCUUGUACCGUUGCACACAUCUUCGCGCCACCCGGCCAGCCUCUGGUGCGCACCUCUGCUUUUACUAGCCGCGAACCACGAGCAUCACCUGUUUGGUGUUGCGCCUACGAGCGUGUUGGAGAAAUCUGUGUCCUGAGGGUGGCGGAGAUUGAUGCGGAGAGGAAGACGAUGGCGACAGAGAGCGUGUGUACUCCAGCCUGUUGGAUUUAUCACAGAUGCCCCACUAAUUUGGCUUGAUGUACAAUGUCAGAUUCAAGAAAAAAAAUGUGUUUUCUAUGUUCUACUAUAGAUCACCAGACUGCGUUGUAUGGAGCGGAACAGAACCAACUGGUCUGCAUCUCCUUCAAUGGCACCCUGCAUCUCUAUCAAUAGCACUCUGCAGCAAGCUUGCUUUCUCUACAUCUACCAUCAACUACCAUGCAACAAGUUCAGUUUGAUGUUAAGAGGAGGCGUUACAGGUAUUUUUUAUGGCACCCCAUGUUAGUCAAUGGAUUUUGUUUAUGUUUCUGGUGGAGAUGAUUCAGGUGAAGUAAUGUUUGUUUCUUAUGAAUAAACUAAGCGAUGAAUUUAAGAUUACUUGCCUGGUAUAUCUAAUUGUAAUGUGUAUCAUGCUCAAGCAAAGGUAUGAUGACUCACUACUGAUAUUUCCUAAUACAUUUGUAUUUUUUGUUUUACUAACUUUCAGAUUUCUCAAAAUCAUGAUUAUUACAUAGUGUGUAUAAUCUUUUCUUGCUAGCUCUGUACUAUGAUUUUGAGGAAUCCGCCAAUGCAAAAAUAAGAUAGUUGUAUGUAGUACUCCAUCCGUCCGGAAAUACUUGUCAUCAAAAUGGAUAAAAGGAGAUGUAUCUAGACGUAUUUUAAUUCUAGAUACAUUCCUUUUUGUCCAUUUUGAUGACAAGUAUUUCCGGACGGAGGGAGUAGUUAUGUUAUACAGGUUAUGUUUGAUGUGUUUCGUAAGGGAGAGAUCGAUGAUUUUGGAAUAUAAAGCUUCAUAUGAUUUUUUUCCUCCAAGGUAACCAUGGGAUCCAUAUUUUUUUAGGUUUGUCUCUAAUAUUAUGUAUGCUCUUCCCAUUGAAGUUUCAAUACUUGGGUUUUAGAGCUGCACUUAUAGACUUCAAUUGGUUUGUACUAUAUAUAAUUAUAAAUCAUGUAAUUAUUUUAUUUGCUUCCCGUUCGUUUCAUGUAUUUUCCAUUUUGUUUUUACUAUGACAAGCUCACAAAGAGUGUGUAUUGAAAGGGAAAGUAAUUUGGUAUGUGAGGCCGUUUGAAUGCACCUGUUUCUUGCUGUUGUAUGUUGUAUUGUACCUGUUUCUUAGAUGAAAAUAAGAUUGGCGAUAUAUAUAUAUACAUAUAUAUAUAUAUAUAUAUAUAUAUAUAUAUAUAUAUAUAUAUAUUCUGUUGAACAUGCAUCCCUCUGGCAGCAUUUUAGAAAUAUAAAUAUGUUCAGUUGUUAUCUUAUCAAGUUAACCCCUUGUAUGUAUAAAUUGUGGAGGAUAGCUCAUUGUUCAAUGUCGAAAGAUAGGUCCUAUAGUUAGGCUCAACCUGAACAAUAAUAUAUCUAGCAUUAGUAAAAAAAACUAAAAAAGUGAUACAAAUUUAUUUCAAUUCAUAUUUUCUACAUUUCUUUCGGAUGUUUGAUGACAUAUCUGAACUUAUUCAUAAACCUACCUUUGAUGUUAGGCUCAAUUAUUCCAAAAUUUGGUGUUGACUAUCCCACGAUUUCAAGCUGACUAUCCCACGAGACAACAAUGGUUCAUAGAAUUUGGGUGUAUUCUCCCGUUGCAACGCACGGGCACCUUUACUAUAUGUCGAGUUAUGGUUUCAUGAUAAACAGAGCACGCACCAAAUUUUGAUGAAUUGCUUGAAGAAAAUGCAUCGGGUCUUUUCUUGCGUCCUUCAAGUCUUCAACCAGGAUACAUUUCUAGAGCUAAAAUUUCUGGGCAUCAAGAAGUAAUUAACUAUGCUUCAAGUAAGGAAGUUAUUUGGUAUAACUAUUUUGAGGACUAAAUUACUAGCUCAAUGUUUGGAAGUUAUUGAGCUGCAGAUAUGGCAUGUGCGUACACGAAGACCUGAUGCAUCAAAGCUCGGUGUGGACACACCUCUUCUUAGAGGACAGAUGUUGAUUUUUCAUUUCCUUCCAACGCCAUUAAAUCCCAGUCUUAUGUAAUUUGAAAUGGCUCCAUCGUGUGUGAUGUAUCCCUCCCCUCAGCUUUUGGAGGAACAUGGUGCUAUUUGGUGCUUUUGUUUGUGGAAAAAAUGUCAUUAGUCAGGAACUUUCUAAGAUGGUCACCUGACUGCUCUAUUGUCAUGGACGUGGGAAAACCUUUGUCUAUAGUAUUUUCUUGGUACCA